rnacentral:rRNA from 1 species
AAAUUUAAGAUUUAUAUUUACUAUGUAAAAAAAAUAUUUUUGAAAUUAGUAUAUUUAAGAAUUUAGAAUUAAUAUUAUAGUUAAAAGUAUAGUGAUAGGAUAUUGAAAUAUAUUGAAAUGUAAUUUUAAAAAAGAAGAAUUAAUUUUUUGUACCUUGUGUAUCAGGGUUUAUUAAAAUUAUGUAAUAAGUUAUUGUUCUCGAAUUGGAAAGAGUUAAUAUUAUAUAGAUUUAAUUGUGGCAUAAACUUUUAAAAUAUAAUAUUAGAAAUGAAACGUUAUUCGUUUUUUAAGAUAUCUAGUUUUUUAAGAAAUAGAUUUAAUCUAGUUUGUAUUAUUAUUUAGUUUAUUAGUUAAUUAGAUAAGGAUAUAAAGUAAUAUUUUAAGGGAUAAGCUUUAAAAUAGAGUAUUAAAAUUAUUUUUAUUAAUAUGAAUAAAAGUAGGAUUGGAAAUUUUUAUCAAUAGUAUGUUAUAAUUAAUUUUCAUUAUAAUAAGAUUUAUAUUUUAAUUUAAGUUAUUUAUUAAAAUGAUACAUUUAAUUUUGUAUUGUAUGUAAUAAUGAUAAAAUUAGUAUAAGGUUAAUGUAAAAAAUAUUUUAUAUUAUAAAGGUUAAGUUAAGGAACUCGGCAAAUAUAUUUUUCGCCUGUUUAUUAAAAACAUGUCUUUUUGAGUAUAAUUUAAAGUCUGACCUGCCCAAUGAGGAUUUGAAUGGCCGCGGUAUUUUGACCGUGCAAAGGUAGCAUAAUCAUUAGUUUUUUAAUUGAAAGCUGGAAUGAAUGGUUGGACGAGAAAAUAACUGUCUCAAUUUAAUUUUAAUUAGAACUUUAUUUUUAAGUUAAAAAGCUUAAAUAAAUUUAAAAGACGAGAAGACCCUAUAGAGUUUUAUAGUUUUUAGUAUAUUUUUAGUUAAGAAUCAUUAAGGUAAAUAUAUUAGAAACUAUUUUGUUGGGGUGACAGAAAAAUUGAAAUAACUUUUUUUAUAUAAUAACAUUGAUUUAUGAGUAUUUGAUCCGUUUAUUACGAUUAAAAGAUUAAAUUACCUUAGGGAUAACAGCGUAAUUUUUUUUGAGAGUUCAUAUCGAAAAAAGAGUUUGCGACCUCGAUGUUGGAUUAAAAUUAACUUUUGGUGUAGCAGCUAAAAGGUUAGGUCUGUUCGACCUUUAAAAUUUUACAUGAUCUGAGUUUAAACCGGUGUGAGCCAGGUUGGUUUCUAUCUUUAAAAAAAAAUUAUACCUUAGUACGAAAGGACCAGGUAUUAAUAAAAUUUAUUAUAUUUUGAAUAUUA